AUGAACGCUAGCUACAGGCUUAACCCAUGCAAGUCGAGGGGCAGCAUGGUCUUAGCUUGCUAAGGCCGAUGGCGACCGGCGCACGGGUGAGUAACACGUAUCCAACCUGCCGUCUACUCUUGGACAGCCUUCUGAAAGGAAGAUUAAUACAAGAUGGCAUCAUGAGUCCGCAUGUUCACAUGAUUAAAGGUAUUCCGGUAGACGAUGGGGAUGCGUUCCAUUAGAUAGUAGGCGGGGUAACGGCCCACCUAGUCUUCGAUGGAUAGGGGUUCUGAGAGGAAGGUCCCCCACAUUGGAACUGAGACACGGUCCAAACUCCUACGGGAGGCAGCAGUGAGGAAUAUUGGUCAAUGGGCGAGAGCCUGAACCAGCCAAGUAGCGUGAAGGACGACUGCCCUAUGGGUUGUAAACUUCUUUUAUAAAGGAAUAAAGUCGGGUAUGGAUACCCGUUUGCAUGUACUUUAUGAAUAAGGAUCGGCUAACUCCGUG
rnacentral:rRNA from 1 species